UCACAGGUCCAUGUUGUAUUUCGUUGUCAUGUCUCCUUGGUUGGCAAUAUAUGAACGUAUCUCAGUCGUGGAAGACAUUGACACUUUUGAAGAGUACAGGCAAAAGAGCCAUAUCCAUUUUCAGAAAUGUCGAAGAUUAUGAAAGAGAAAUACAUGGAAAAUUAUCAAGAAACACUUAUUAACGAUGUAGAAGCUUGUCAUUCUUUCAUUGUUUCAGAAUGUCAGAAAAUCAUAUUUAUUCUGGCUUAUACUGUUAAUUGAUAUGAAAGCAUAUCCUUAAAGAAAAAUUUCUGUUGGCAAGAUUGCCAAUGUUUUGGAAAAAUAAAAUAAGGAAGGAUGGAAGUACCUGACGGCAUAUCGUUUUUAUAAAGUUUUGGAUUAUGGAAUUUUCCUGCUCCAUGUGAUUUGUCCUUGCUGAUGAAGCAGUAACAUAUACAGCAUUGCUCUAGUGUCUGCAUUCUGUGGAACGGAGGGCUUUUGAGCCUCACAAGACUUUGAGAUUUUAUGGAUAUGAAACCUGCUAUCAUUUAGCAUCCUGCCUCUGGGAAUAGAAGCUGGACUGUACUGCUGCCAUCUCGGCUCACUGCAACCUCCCUGCCUGAUUCUCCUGCCUCAGCCUGCCCAGUGCCUGCGAUUGCAGGCGCGCGUCGCCACGCCUGACUGGUUUUCAUAUUUUUUGGGUGGAGACGGGGUUUCCCUGUGUUGGCCGGGCUGGUCUCCAGCUCCUAACCGCGAGUGAUCCGCCAGCCUCCGCCUCCCGAGGUGCCCGGAUUGCAGACGGAGUCUCCUUCACUCAGUGCUCAAUGGUGCCCAGGCUGGAGUGCAGUGGUGUGAUCUCGGCUCGCUACAACAUCCACCUCCCAGCAGCCUGCCUUGGCCUCCCAAAGUGCCGAGAUUGCAGCCUCUGCCCGGCCGCCACCCCGUCUGGGAAGUGAGGAGCGUCUCUGCCUGGCCGCCCAUCGUCUGGGAUGCGAGGAGCCCCUCUGCCUGGCUGCCCAGUCUGGAAAGUGAGGAGCAUCUCUGCCCAGCCGCCAUCCCAUCUAGGAAGUGAGGAGCGCCUCUUCCCGGCUGCCAUCCCAUCUAGGAAGUGAGGAGCGUCUCUGCCCGGCCGCCCAUCGUCUGAGAUGUGGGGAGUGCCUCUGCCCUGUCGCCCCGUCCGGGAUGUGAGGAGCGUCUCUGCCCGGCCGCCCCGUCUGAGAAGUGAGGAGACCCUCUGCCUGGCAACCGCCCUGUCUGAGAAGUGAGGAGCCCCUCCGCCCA
rnacentral:lncRNA from 10 species